rnacentral:tRNA from 3 species
GGCGGGGUAGCUCAGUUGGUCAGAGCGCGCGGUUCAUACCCGCGUUGUCGGCGGUUCGAAUCCGCCCCCCGCUACCA